CUUGGUCAUUAUAACGCGGGCCGUUCGGAAACCCUGUCCGCGGACCGCUGCAGUCUCCCCGCGCGAGAUGCAACCCGAUAGAGGUCGGAAGGGGGCUUGAGACUCAUUUUUUUCUUGACUUUCAUCGCGAACAACCUUAUAUAUGAAUCACAUUGCGAUUUUUGUAGUCGCAAAAUUUGAUGUUAAGGGAGAAU
rnacentral:misc_RNA from 1 species